AGAACGAACGCUGGCGGCAUGCUUAACACAUGCAAGUUGAACGCUCUUUCGGGCUUCGGUUCGGGAGGGAGUGGCGCACGGGUGAGUAGCGCGUGGGAACCUGCCCUCUUGUGGGGGAUAACCGCGGGAAACUGCGGCUAAUACCGCAUAAGCCCCUGGGAGUGAUCCUGGGGGGAAAGAUUUAUCGCGAGAGGAGGGGCCCGCGUCGGAUUAGCUUGUUGGUGGGGUAACGGCCUACCAAGGCAAUGAUCCGUAGCUGGUCUGAGAGGAUGAUCAGCCACACUGGGACUGAGACACGGCCCAGACUCCUACGGGAGCAGCAGUGGGGAAUAUUGGACAAUGGGCGCAAGCCUGAUCCAGCAAUGCCGCGUGAGUGAGGAAGGCCUUCGGGUUGUAAAGCUCUUUCGGCGGGGACGAUGAUGACGGUACCCGCAGAAGAAGCCCCGGCUAACUUCGUGCCAGCAGCCGC
rnacentral:rRNA from 1 species